ACACAUCUAUGAUUCCUAAUUAUAUAUCCAUUUCUGUAGGGCUCAGUCUGUUUGCUGUACAAACCUCUGAAGGCACUAUUUACUGGUGACCAUGUCGCGAAAUCAGAAGAAUCAGAUCUAAACCUCUUUCUGAUGUACAGUAAGCAAUCAGUGGGUGUGCAACUGGACAGCAUCAGGAAGUUACUGGAUGUAGAUUUUGAGUGGUUUUUACCUGGGCAUGGCUACCGAAUCCGGUAUGCAGAUGUAUAUGCCAAGAAUUCAGCUAUUGAGGCUCUCCUUGCAGACUACACAAACUAAGGAGCAUCUUAUGAUCACAAAUUUCAAAUAUAUGGAUUCCAGAAUAAAGGGACGAGGUGGAUAUGCAGUCCCAGAGAAAUCCUGAUCGACGCUACUGCUUUGACUUUCUUGUCCAAACGCCAUGUACCUUAUUGUACUCCAUCCGUUUCUAAAUAUAAGGCUUUUUAGAGAUUUCAAUA